UGACGAUUUUGACAGGACAUCACCGGCACGAGUCCGCCUACGACAAGGCGCUGUUCCCGUUGCACACUCUUCGGUACACGCUCUACAGCACCUGCAGGUGUUACAAGCCAGCAGACGAGAACCAAGUGAUAGCACAUCAGGUCCCUCUUUUGAACAGGAAGGCAGGUUGGGCCCACACUGCUCUGCGCAAGCUCAGCAGGGGUCCAGUACGGUGAGCCCACACUCUUUGAUCCAUGCUCAGCAGUAUCUACAAGAAACAGAAGUGCCACAUACUGUGUCUGAGCCUGGACCAGAGCUAUGUGACGU